rnacentral:rRNA from 1 species
UACGUAGGUGGCAAGCGUUGUCCGGAUUUACUGGGCGUAAAGGGCGUGCAGGCGGUCUGCUAAGUGCUAAGGGGUGAAAGCUCCCGGCUCAACUGGGGAGAGGUCCUUGGAUACUGGCGGAGCUUGAGGGAGGUAGAGGAGAGUCGGAAUUCCGGUGUAGUGGUGAUAUGCGUAGAUAUCGGGAGGAACACCAGUGGCGAAGGCGGCUCUCUGGGCCUUUCCUGACGCUGAGACGCGAAAGCGUGGGGAGCGAACCGG